rnacentral:rRNA from 1 species
AGUCAUAUGCUCGUCUCAAAGAUUAAGCCAUGCAUGUCUCAGUACAAGCCAAAUUAAGGUGAAACCGCGAAAGGCUCAUUAAAUCAGUUAUGGUUCCUUAGAUCGUACCCACAUUUACUUGGAUAACUGUGGUAAUUCUAGAGCUAAUACAUGCUAACAGAACUCUGACCGGAGACGGAAGGAGUGCUUUUAUUAGAUCAAAACCAAUCGGUGGCGGGCUUGCUCGUCAUCGUACAGCUUGGUGACUCUGAAUAACUUUUGCUGAUCGCACGGUCUCGCACCGGCGACGCAUCUUUCAAAUGUCUGCCUUAUCAACUGUCGAUGGUAGGUUCUGCGCCUACCAUGGUUGUAACGGGUAACGGGGAAUCAGGGUUCGAUUCCGGAGAGGGAGCCUGAGAAACGGCUACCACAUCCAAGGAAGGCAGCAGGCGCGCAAAUUACCCACUCCCGGCACGGGGAGGUAGUGACGAAAAAUAACGAUACGGGACUCAUCCGAGGCCCCGUAAUCGGAAUGAGUAAACUCUAAAUCCUUUUGCAAGGACAAUUGGAGGGUAAGUCUGGUGCCAGCAGCCGCGGUAAUUCCAGU